GCGGCCGCGGCCGAGCAAAGGUAGCAUAAUCAUUAGUCUUUUAAAAGAGGGCUGGAAUGAAAGGUUUGACGAGGUACUAACUGUCUCAUUUUAUUUGAGAAUUUAACUUUUUAGUCAAAAGGCUAAAAUUUAGUUGGAAGACGAGAAGACCCUAUAGAGCUUUAUAUAUAUUNUGUNGGGGUGACAAAAAUAUUUUUUAUUUAUUUAACAUUGAUUCAUGAAUAUUAGAUCCACUAUUAGUGAUUAUUAGAUUAAGUUACCUUAGGGAUAACAGCGUAAUCCUCCCCCAGAGUUCAUAUUUACUUGCGUCCUUUAUUUUGGAUUAAGAUAAUAAUUAGGUGUAGCCGCUCAAU
rnacentral:rRNA from 1 species